rnacentral:lncRNA from 10 species
CCUACUAUAUAUUAGCACUGUGCUGUACUUGGGCACCAGAGAUACAUUGGUGAGUAAAACACACAUGGUCCCUGCCCAUGUCGUGCUUAUAGACUAACAGGAGAGACAGACCUUAGAUAAAUAAAUGUAGAGAUGAUUGUUUAAAUGCCAGUGUGGUCAGGGCUCCAGAGAAGUUAGGGUGUUGUGAAAGUUUGUAGUCGGGGAGCUGCCCCACCUGGAUUUCCUGAGGAAGUGAUGUUUGAGAAUAAGGCCGGGUCUGAUGGAGUUGAUUGGUGAAGGACCGUGUCCUUAACGUGCUGUCUUUCCCAGGGCACUCUGGCCGUGCUGGCCCUGCAGCUGGCAAGGCAGAUCCACUUCCAGGCAUCCCUGCCAGCAGGACCUCAGCGGGUAGAACACUGCUCCUGGCACAGUCCCCUGGACCGUUUCUUCUCAUCUCCCUUGUGGCACCCAUGCUCCUCACUGCGACAACACAUCCUCCCCAGCCCCGAUGGCCCAGCUCCCAGGCACACUGGCCUCAGGGAACCCAGGCUUGGCCAGGAAGAAGCCUCAGCUCAGCCCCGGAACUUCUCACACAACUCUUUGAGAGGAGCUCGUCCUCAGGACCCCUCUGAGGAAGGUAUGUCCCUGCCUCAUGGAAUCAGCAGAAGGCAGGGGGCGGUGGUGGUGAGCUGGGCAAGAUGGACGUUGUUUGCUGCGAAGGGAAUUGGCACUCCUGUGAGGUCCCAUGCCUUGUGAGGUGAUUCAGGGUUAUUUCGGUUCCUGGCAAGGGUGCUGGCUGGAAAGCCUGGGUAGACUGGGAGAGUCGGAGAAAAGAAGUACAACUUUCUCCUUUGCCCUGGCCGGGUGUCGGCCUUUCCCUUGCAGGUCCCGGUGAUUUUGGCUUCCUGCAUGCCAGUAGUAGCAUCGAGUCCGAGGCAAAACCAGCCCAGCCUCAGCCCACUGGUGAAAAGGUAUUAUCCAGAUUUGGCCACCUGGAUCCCCAUAACAUUCUCUUGGGCAGGUGGCAAUCCUGGUAAACCAUCCCUUGGUGAGUCUUUUAUAUUUCUUUCCCAGGAACAAGAUAAAUCAAAAACUCUUUCCCUUGAGGAGGCUGUGACUUCCAUUCAGCAGCUCUUCCAGCUCAGUGUUUCCAUCGCUUUCAACUUCCUGGGUAACCAAAUGGACCCUGCCCCAAGGCAGGAGGGUGGGAAAAUGGAAAGGGUAUGGGGUAGCUCAGAUAUAGUCAAGAUAGGGAGUGGCUUAAACGAGAGAUUUUAUUUUCUCCCAGGUAGGUAGACCAAAUCUGGCAUGGCAGGGACCCAUUCUUAUGCAGAUGUGUCCUGCCAUUUUUAAAACUGGCUCCCAUCUUGAGGCGCAGUUUGGCAAUUCCAGCUCCUGCCCUCCUGUCCGUAUUCUAGCCAGCUGGUCGGGGCAAGGUAGGGAAGCUAAAGGAUCACUCCUUCCCUUUAAUCUAGACGUUGCACAAAUCCUUGUCCAGAAUAUAGGCACAUGGCCACACCUCGCCACAGAGG